rnacentral:rRNA from 1 species
GACGAACGCUGGCGGCGUGCCUAAUACAUGCAAGUCGAGCGGACAGAAGGGAGCUUGCUCCCGGAUGUUAGCGGCGGACGGGUGAGUAACACGUGGGUAACCUGCCUGUAAGACUGGGAUAACUCCGGGAAACCGGAGCUAAUACCGGAUAGUUCCUUGAACCGCAUGGUUCAAGGAUGAAAGACGGUUUCGGCUGUCACUUACAGAUGGACCCGCGGCGCAUUAGCUAGUUGGUGGGGUAAUGGCUCACCAAGGCGACGAUGCGUAGCCGACCUGGGAGGGUGAUCGGCCACACUGGGACUGAGACACGGCCCAGACUCCUACGGGAGGCAGCAGUAGGGAAUCUUCCGCAAUGGACGAAAGUCUGACGGAGCAACGCCGCGUGAGUGAUGAAGGUUUUCGGAUCGUAAAGCUCUGUUGUUAGGGAAGAACAAGUGCGAGAGUAACUGCUCGCACCUUGACGGUGCCUAACCAGAAAGCCACGGCUAACUACGUGCCAGCAGCAGCCGCGG